UAGUCCACGCUGUAAACGAUGAUUACUCGGUGCUAGCAAUAUACCGUUAGUGCCUAAGCGAAAGCGAUAAGUAAUCCACCUGGGGAGUACGGUCGCAAGAUUGAAACUCAAAGGAAUUGACGGGGGCCCGCACAAGCGGUGGAGCAUGUGGUUUAAUUCGAUGAUACGCGAGGAACCUUACCUGGGCUUAAAUGUAGAUUGACAGGCUGAGAAAUCAGUUUUUCUUCGGACAGUUUACAAGGUGCUGCAUGGUUGUCGUCAGCUCGUGCUGUGAGGUGUCGGGUUAAGUCCCAUAACGAGCGCAACCCCUAUCCUUAGUUGCCAGCGAGUAAUGUCGGGGACUCUAGGGAAACUGCCGGUGCAAACCGUGAGGAAGGUGGGGAUGACGUCAAAUCAUCACGGCCCUUACGUCCAGGGCUACACACGUACUACAAUGGCAGAAACAAACCGAAGCGAUAUUGCGAGAUGGAGCUAAACGGUAAAACACUGUCUCAGUCCGGAUUGAAGUCUGC
rnacentral:rRNA from 1 species